UCUUUUUAGUCCCAAGGCACGUAGAUAGUACCUAUACAUCUCAUCAAGAACAUGGAUGGUUCUCUGCUGUCAGCUGAAGUGCUGUGACCACAAAACUGAAAAUUCCCAUUCUGUGUCCUUGCCAAUAAAGAAUGUCCAUCAGAGCACGCCCAGUAUCCUAGCUCCUUAUCCAGACAGUGCUUCUCAACCCUUGCUGCUGGACUGAAGGACAAACCCAGGGGACCUCAGAUUGCACUCAGAAUCCUCAAUCUUCUCCCACGGCUGAAGUUUGUCUCUGGCCCAAUGGUGUUUGCCUGACUCACACUCCCUUUGGGAGCUCCUCAUGCAAAUACUGUUCCAGAAGAUCUGCACAUCAAUUUAUUGAGACACUCAGAAUUGCUGCCCAUCAAAGAAUGGACUCUGCAUAGGUUUAGAUUAGGAAACUCAGAAACAUCAAUACUUAAGCAUAAUUAGACAACAGUUGGAGCUUAGGCAGACUAUUUUGAGGGGAUCUUUUGCAGAACUCUUCCAGAUCUCUGUGGUGUCCCUCCAAAGACAAACUCUUAAUAAUUCUACUCUGUCCCACAUCGAAGCCAGUGCAGUAUUGAAAAAUGGCAUUAACAAAACUUUAGGCUUUUACUGGAAACAAGCACCUUCUUUAUUGUAAAUAACUCCAUAUAGACCUGUAAUAAGUUAGAAUCAGAAUGAUCUUUCUGUCAUGAUUCCAUUUUUUAUACAACUCAUGUGCCUCAAACUCCACAGGAGUCAAUAAAUUAUGACUCUGAAAUAAUACUGAAUUUCAAAGCUUAGUAUGCAGUGUAUGGAAAAAAUGCCUCACCAUUUUUCUUGCUGUCAUUUGAAGGCACAGUAGCAGGUGCAUCACAACAUUGGAGAUACAUUCUGAAAAUGCCAAUAUCUCCAUCAGUUAUAGAUUUGUCAUAAUUAAUGCUGAUGGCUCCUGCUGUACCAUUGUAUUCUUCACUCCCACCAUUAGUCCUCUCUUUGACAUGCUGGACUGUGUUAAGCCAUCUUGGUGUGGCUCUCUCCCCAUGGCUCCACAUGCCCUCUCCUUCAACUUUCUCCCAUGUCCACUGACUAGUCCUCAGACCAAGCAGGGAAUUUCCAGACCAGUCCCUUUGUCUCAUGAACUUUCUUUCUCUUUGCUUCGUCUCCCCCUCCAUGACGAUUACAUUUUCUCUCAUAAACAGACAUGAUGAUGUUGAAGAUAUAUAACAUUUUGAGGGAGUCUUAGAAUACUAAUUUUUGGGGUCAACUUGGAUGUGAAGAUAAAAUGAAAACUAUGCCUUUCCUGCAGUUGAUAUAAUUUUCUCAUGAGGCUUGUCCCCUUUAGGUAUAUGUGUAGGGUGGGGUCAAUGUUGGUGGAAGAGGGGAAUUCUGAAGUGCCAAAAAAUUAUUUGUCUCCUUAA